ACUAAAUCAGAGGACUUCCAGUAUGUCAGGAUCUUUCAGUAAGAGAGGACCCACAAAGCUAUUCUAAAGGAGUGAAUUUUUUGUGAUGAAGAUGAUGAUGAUGAGGAUGAAUAUGAUCCCUUUAAGUGUUCUACCAGCUCAAGAAGAGGCAGCAGAUGACUUGUGAAUCUGUUAUAUUGUACUGACAUUUACAUUCUGGAUCAAUUUUCUUGUUCAGCAGUUAAUUCAGUUUCAAUGUUGUUAUAGCAAUGUUUAACCAGUUUUGUUUAAAAAUAAAGUACCAAUCAUUUGUAUGUUGAUGAAACGCUGUACUGGAUGUGAAUACUUUUUUUUUGUGACCUACAUACAGCGCUAUGUUGUUUUAGAAAUCUCAUUCAAUCUGAAUCGAUCUUUUUUUUAAAAAAAGUCCAUUAUUUGAAAGCUUCAACACGAUGCCUCUAAAACAGUCUCUCCAGCUACCCUGCAAUUUUGUUUUAAUUAAUUGGAUAACCUUUUGAUUUUUAAAAAAUCUUGUCAGUUUCCUGUGGAUCUGCAAUGAUUAUGUGAAUAUAAAUUACUGAUGCAAUUAAAGCAAAAUUGCAAUAAGAUUUAUGUGAUGAAGGCCUGCUUCUUACUCUCUUUCAUUAACUUUACAUACGUAUAUAUUAAUAGCUGCUCGUUUGGAAAAAUACAUGCAUCAAUAAUUUUGUUUUGAAAUAAAGACUUUGUUAAGUUUGCAUCAUUUUAGUGCAAAACGUAUUUGCUCAACCUGAUUUUUCAGGUAAGAAAUAAUUGGUUUAAAGAAAAUACACUAUUAAAAUGUGACCAAUGUUAACAAUUAAUCUGUUGAAAAUUGGCUUUUGAGUUAUUGAAUACACUAUAAAUUGUUGUGUCGAAGGCUGUUAAUGUUCAGAUUAUAUUUUUGAUCAAAAGAAAUUAACUUCAUGUAGAAAAAACACA